UUUAAAUUAGUGUUCCAUUCUUUAAGACAUUAAGUUACAAUGUUUUCUGUUGAAAUAUACAGCUUGUACAAGCCCGUUUGACCCCCCUAGCCCAAAACCCUCAAGCCCAAUACCCAAACAAAAGCCCAAAUAACUCCCGGGCCCAAAUAACCUUAACCCUAGCCUAAAUUAACAAAUCAGAAACAAAAGGACAAAAAAAACCUAGCUGCUGCCUCCCCGUGCCAGGUCUGCCACCGUCUGUCACGUCCACCGCCUCACCGCCCAAGUUGCACCUGCAAGCAUUAAUAGGAGUGGACAGAAGCAAGAAAGAUAAUGGCAUACUCGGCUAUAUAUAGCCAAAUAGAAUGUAAAAAGGGACCUUUUUUUUUUUCUCUUUUAUUCAAAAACAAAUAGCCUCAAUAUACAAAAUUUCAGCAAGAAACAUCACAAACCGAAGCAAAGGUCUAUAUACUUUCCUUUUUUAUUUUUAUUUUUUCUCUUCUUUUGUCGAAUUUGUUUGCAUAUAAUCUCUAUAAACAACACAUGCAUAUUAGAUAAAUAUAUAAAAUAGCAAAAAAAUAAUAUAAAAAAAUCUUACCUUUGGGAGAUUUUCGGCCACCGUCUACGGUGGCUGGCACGGCGGGCCACUCGCCGGAUUCUGGGCUCCCCCAGAGAGAAUUCGAGCCCCUUCCCCCUUCCUUUCUUUAAAACCCAGAGAAAAUGAGCUUCUGCUCAGAUUUUUUUUUUGUUUUUAUACCCUCUUUAUACGGCGUCGUUUUGAACUAGUUACCUAGGCGUCAAACGGCGUCGUUUUGACGCGAAUCGGACUGACCCGACCCGCUAACCGUGGGAUCCGCGUGUUUUCAUUACUUUUGGGUUAUUUACGCAACAAGCCCCUUUGUUUUGUAGCGUAUAUCGAUUAGGUUCUAUGCUGAUUUUUGUUCCUUUUAAUUUGGCUUGGAUAUUUAAUUUCGAAUUCGAUCUGGUCCUGAGACCAUUUAAACACGUAUUUUGGAACAGUGCCGUUGGGCGAUAGGGUACAAUUUCCAAAUGGGUCCCUAUGAUGUGGCGUGUAUUUUAAUGGGGUC
rnacentral:lncRNA from 1 species